rnacentral:misc_RNA from 1 species
GAUGAAGAACGCAGCGAAAUGCGAUAAGUAAUGCGAAUUGCAGAAUUUCCGUGAGCCAUCGAAUCUUUGAACGCACAUUGCGCCCCUUGGUAUCCCGAGGGGCAUGCCUGUUCGAGCGUCAUUUCACCACUCAAGCCUGGCUUGGUGUUGGGCGACGUCCUCUUUGGGGACGCGCCUCGAAACGCUCGGCGGCGUGGCACCGGCUUUAAGCGUAGCAGAAUCUUUCGCUUUGGAAGUCGGGGCCCCGUCUGCCGGAAGACCUGCUCGCAAGGUUGACCUCGGAUCAGGCAGGGAUACCCGCUGAACUUAAGCAUAUCAAUAAGCGGAGGA